AACGAACGCUGGCGGCGUGCCUAACACAUGCAAGUCGUGCGAGAAAGUUCCUUCGGGAGCGAGUAAAGCGGCGCACGGGUGAGUAACACGUAGGUAACCUGCCCCCCAGUCUGGAACAACUAGAGGAAACUCUAGCUAAUGCCGGAUGAGACCACGAUCCCUUCGGGGGUUGCGGCCAAAGAUGGCCUCUACUUGUAAGCUAUCGCUGAGGGAUGGGCCUGCGGGCCAUUAGCUUGUUGGUGAGGUAACGGCUCACCAAGGCUGUGAUGGCUAGCUGGUCUGAGAGGAUGACCAGCCACACUGGGACUGAGACACGGCCCAGACUCCUACGGGAGGCAGCAGUGGGGAAUAUUGCACAAUGGGCGCAAGCCUGAUGCAGCGACGCCGCGUGGGGGAUGACGGCCUCGGUUGGUUAAACCG
rnacentral:rRNA from 1 species